CCUACGGGUGGCAGCAGUGGGGGAUAUUGCACAAUGGGGGGAACCCUGAUGCAGCGACGCCGCGUGAGCGAAGAAGUACCUCGGUAUGUAAAGCUCUAGCAGCAGGGAAGAAAAUGACGAUAACUGACUAAGAAGCCCAGGCUAAAUACGUGCCAGCAGCCGCGGUAAUACUAAUGGGGCAAGCGUUAUCCGGAUUUACUGUGUGUAAAGGGAGCGCAGGCGGCCUGCCAAGUCUUGUGUGAAAAUCCGGGGCCCAACCCCGGGCCUGCAUUGGAAAAUGGGGGGCUGGAGUGUCGGAGGGGCAGGCGGAAUUCCUAGUGUAGCGGUGAAAUGCGUAGAUAUUGGGAGGAACACUGGUGGCGAAGGCGGCCUGCUGGACGAUGACUGACGCUGAGGCUCGAAAGCGUGGGGAGCAAACAGGAUUAGAUACCCGUGUAGUC
rnacentral:rRNA from 1 species